GAUGAACGCUGACAGAAUGCUUAACACAUGCAAGUCAUUGGCGAAGCUGCGCUUGCGCAGUCUAGCCAAGGCGGACGGGUGAGUAACGCGUAAGGAACUUGCCCUGCAGACAGGGAUAACAGACGGAAACGACUGAUAACACCUGGUAUUGUCAGGCUGGCGCAUGCCGGCCUGAUGAAAGGAGACGCUGCAGGAGAGCCUUGCGUCCUAUUAGCUAGUUGGUGGGGUAACGGCCCACCAAGGCGAUGAUAGGUAGCCGGCCUGAGAGGGUGAACGGCCACAAGGGGACUGAGAUACGGCCCUUACUCCUACGGGAGGCAGCAGUGGUGAAUAUUGGACAAUGGGGGCAACCCUGAUCCAGCAAUUCUGUGUGCACGAAGAAGGUUUUCGGAUUGUAAAGUGCUUUCAGCAGGGAAGAAGAAAGUGACGGUACCUGCAGAAGAAGCGACGGCUAAAUACGUG
rnacentral:rRNA from 1 species